rnacentral:rRNA from 1 species
UACGUAGGGGGCAAGCGUUAUCCGGAUUUACUGGGUGUAAAGGGGGCGCAGACGGUGAUGCAAGCCAGGAGUGAAAGCCCGGGGCCCAACCCCGGGACUGCUCUUGGAACUGCGUGGCUGGAGUGCAGGAGGGGCAGGCGGAAUUCCUGGUGUAGCGGUGAAAUGCGUAGAUAUCAGGAGGAACACCGGUGGCGAAGGCGGCCUGCUGGACUGCAACUGACGUUGAGGCCCGAAAGCGUGGGGAGCAAACAGG